GGAUGCGAUAAUACCAGCACUAAAGCACCGGAUCCCAUCAGAACUCCGAAGUUAAGCGUGGUUGGGCGAGAGUAGUACUAGGAUGGGUGACCUCCUGGGAAGUCCUCGUGUUGCAUUCC
rnacentral:rRNA from 1 species